CCCUUAGAUGUCCGGGGCUGCACGCGCGCUACACUGAAGGAAUCAGCGUGCUAAAACCAUUGUCGAAAGGCAUUGGUAAACCCAUUAAAAUCCUACGUGAUUGGGAUCGGGAAUUGCAAUUAUCUCCCUUGAACGAGGAAUUCCCAGUAAGUGUGGGUCAUAAGCUCGCGUUGAUUACGUCCCUGCCCUUUGUACACACCGCCCGUCGCUGCCCGGGACUGAGCCGUUUCGAGAAAAGCGGGGACUGCUGCUGUCGGGGCUUUCGGGCCUUGGCUUCGGUGGAAACCGCUUUAAUCGCAGUGGCUUGAACCGGGCAAAAGUCGUAACA
rnacentral:rRNA from 1 species